GACGAACGCUGGCGGCGUGCUUAACACAUGCAAGUCGAACGGGCCUUGUCCCCUUUUUAUUGGGGGUGGGGUUAGUGGCGAACGGGUGAGUAACACGUGAGUAACCUGCCCCUCACUUCUGGAUAACCGCUUGAAAGGGUGGCUAAUACGGGGUGUUCUGGCCUGCUCGCAUGGGUGGGUUUGGAAAGAUUCGACCGGUUUUGGUUGUUUUGGUGGGGGAUGGGCUCGCGGCCUAUCAGCUUGUUGGUGGGGUGAUGGCCUGCCAAGGCUUUGACGGGUAGCCGGCCUGAGAGGGUGGGCGGUCACACUGGGACGGAGACACGGCCCAGACUCCUACGGGAGGCAGCAGUGGGGAAUAUUGCACAAUGGGCGCAAGCCUGAUGCAGCGACGCCGCGUGAGGGAUGGAGGCCUUCGGGUUGUGAACCUCUUUCGCCAGUGAAGAAGGUCCUGCUCUUUGUGGUGGGGUUGACGGUAGCUGGGUUAAUGAAGCGCCGGCUAACUACGUG
rnacentral:rRNA from 1 species